GACGAACGCUGGCGGCGUGCUUAACACAUGCAAGUCGAACGGAAAGGCCCUGCUUGCAGGGUACUCGAGUGGCGAACGGGUGAGUAACACGUGGGUGAUCUGCCCUGCACUUCGGGAUAAGCCUGGGAAACUGGGUCUAAUACCGGAUAGGAGCCAUUUUUAGUGUGAUGGUUGGAAAGUUUUUUCGGUGUAGGAUGAGCUCGCGGCCUAUCAGCUUGUUGGUGGGGUAAUGGCCUACCAAGGCGGCGACGGGUAGCCGGCCUGAGAGGGUGGACGGCCACAUUGGGACUGAGAUACGGCCCAGACUCCUACGGGAGGCAGCAGUGGGGAAUAUUGCACAAUGGGCGCAAGCCUGAUGCAGCGACGCCGCGUGGGGGAGGACGGCCUUCGGGUUGUAAACGCCUUUCGCUAAGGACGAAGCUUUUUGUGACGGUACCUAGAUAAGAAGCACCGGCUAACUACGUG
rnacentral:rRNA from 1 species